rnacentral:rRNA from 1 species
UACGUAGGGUGCGAGCGUUGUCCGGAAUUAUUGGGCGUAAAGGGCUCGUAGGCGGUCUGUCGCGUCGGGAGUGAAAACCCAGGGCUUAACCCUGGGCCUGCUUCCGAUACGGGCAGACUAGAGGUAUGCAGGGGAGAACGGAAUUCCUGGGUGUAGCGGUGAAAUGACGCAGAUAUCAGGAGGAACACCGGUGGCGAAGGCGGUUCUCUGGGCAUGUCCUGACGCUGAGGAGCGAAAGCGUGGGGAGCGAACAGG